rnacentral:rRNA from 1 species
GCCUAACACAUGCAAGUCGAGCGGCAGCACGGGAAGCUUGCUUCCUGGUGGCGAGCGGCGGACGGGUGAGUAAUGCAUAGGAAUCUGCCCGGUAGUGGGGGAUAACCUGGGGAAACCCAGGCUAAUACCGCAUACGUCCUACGGGAGAAAGCAGGGGCUCUUCGGACCUUGCGCUAUCGGAUGAGCCUAUGUCGGAUUAGCUGGUUGGUGAGGUAAUGGCUCACCAAGGCGACGAUCCGUAGCUGGGCUGAGAGGAUGAUCAGCCACAUCGGGACUGAGACACGGCCCGAACUCCUACGGGAGGCAGCAGUGGGGAAUAUUGGACAAUGGGCGCAAGCCUGAUCCAGCCAUGCCGCGUGUGUGAAGAAGGCCCUCGGGUUGUAAAGCACUUUCAGUGGGGAAGAACGCCUUCCGGUUAAUACCCGGGAGGAAAGACAUCACCCACAGAAGAAGCACCGGCUAACUCCGUGCCAGCAGCCGCGGUAAUACGGAGGGUGUGAGCGUUAAUCGGAAUUACUGGGCGUAAAGCGCGCGUAGGUGGCUUGAUAAGCCGGUUGUGAAAGCCCCCGGGCUCAACCUGAGAACGGCAUCCGGAACUGUCAGGCUAGAGUGCAGGAGAGGAAGGUAGAAUUCCCCGGUGUAGCGGUGAAAUGCGUAGAGAUCGGAGGAAUACCAGUGCGAAGGCGGCUUCUGGACUGACACUGACACUGAGGUGCGAAAGCGUGGGUAGCAACAGGAUUAGAUACCUGGUAGUCACGCCGUAAACGAUGUCGACUAGCCGUUGGGUCCUUCGCGGACUUGUGGCGCAGUUAACGCGAUAAGUCGACCGCCUGGGGAGUACGGCCGCAAGGUUAAAACUCAAAUGAAUUGACGGGGGCCCGCACAAGCGGUGGAGCAUGUGGUUUAAUUCGAUGCAACGCGAAGAACCUUACCUACCCUUGACAUCCUGCGAACCCUUCGGAGACGAAGGGGUGCCUUCGGGAACGCAGAGACAGGUGCUGCAUGGCUGUCGUCAGCUCGUGUUGUGAAAUGUUGGGUUAAGUCCCGUAACGAGCGCAACCCUUGUCCCUAUUUGCCAGCGAUUCGGUCGGGAACUCUAGGGAGACUGCCGGUGACAAACCGGAGGAAGGUGGGGACGACGUCAAGUCAACAUGGCCCUUACGGGUAGGGCUACACACGUGCUACAAUGGUCAGUACAAAGGGUUGCGAACUUGCGAGAGUGAGCCAAUCCCAGAAAGCUGAUCUCAGUCCGGAUCGGAGUCUGCAACUCGACUCCGUGAAGUCGGAAUCGCUAGUAAUCGUGAAUCAGAAUGUCACGGUGAAUACGUUCCCGGGCCUUGUACACACCGCCCGUCACACCAUGGGAGUGGACUGCACCAGAAGUGGUUAGCCUAACCUUCGGGAGGGCGAUCACCACGGUGUGGUUCAUGACUGGGGUGAAGUCGUAACAAGGUAGCCGUAGGGGAACCUGCGGCUGGAUCACCU